rnacentral:lncRNA from 1 species
GCAGAAAAAGAUAAUUCACUAUAAGGGGAUCGCGCAGUGCUGACACACCGGAUGUGCGCGCCUUUCAAUGGUGAUGACUGGACGGC